rnacentral:lncRNA from 1 species
GCAGGAGCCACCUGUGGGUGGAGGGCCAGAUUAUCCGUGGUCCUGUGGCCCUCCUCACCCCCGCCUCCUUUGUUCAGUUCCCAAGGAGAUGGGGGUAGAGGUGUUGGUGACCCCAGGGGAGACUUGGGCUAUUUGUGUCCUUUCUUUCAAGGCUGGUCAUCUGUAGUCGAAGUGGAGGUCGUUCUUGAUGCCCCCACUUUGUGGGCUGCCCAAAUCCCACUGGCCUGUCCUGGGACUCCCCCUUUUACCUCCUUCCAACUGAUUUUGGGGGGCUGCAGCUCGGGCACUUUCCCAGCUGGGGCACUCAGCAACCUUCCCAUGGCUCGGGACCACAGCUGGCCCAGGGCAGGGGAGGCACCAAGCUGAAGGACCCCCCAGGACCUAAAUCUGGGACCUGCUCCUGCCUUAUGGCUUGGCCCUGUUACCUGCUCUUGGAGCUGGGGGCCUGUGCCCACCGCUGACACUCUUGCCCUAUGCACUGCCCGACUAGCUGGCCAGGCCUUCCCCAGUGAAGGCCCCCAUUCAGUCAGAGCCAGGGCCUCCUCAGAGGGCAGCCUGGGCAUCACAGCCUUGGGAUAGGGUUCACUCAGAAGCGUGCUGGGGCAACCCCCUCACCACCCCUCAUCAGUGGGCAAUGGAUUCAGUCUGUGCCGGCCCGGGAGUGCGUGAGCAGGUCCCAAGGGAGCUGUCUCUGCUUGACCCUCCAUGGUUCCAGAGUAGCAGCUGAGACAUGAAAGAACUGCCGUGGGGCCUGGUGGUGUCCCAGAGCAAAUCCGGGGCCUUGGCUGGAGAAGGGGAAAUGGAUGCUGAGCAGGGGCUCACCUUACGGUGGCUCAGGAACCAAGGUAGAACAAUGCCAGGUGGCCAACGGCAGAACCGGUCCCAACCAGAAAGGUCCAAGAUGGCGAUGGGGUGCCCUGCGCAAAACGAAACGUGUGCCAAAGGUGCCAUGUGCAGGAAAGGAAGGUCAGCGCAUGCCCCAAGUGCUCCUGCCCCAGCGACGACGUGGAGACCCCUCCCCCUGCACAUCCCGUAAGAGCCUGGCUCACCUGCCCUUCUGGGAGAAGGUGCUUUAGAGCUGACCCCGGCCUCCUCCAUCCACUGAUGGGUGAAUAACGCUUCUGCUCUGCUAUUCUGAA